rnacentral:rRNA from 1 species
AUUGAACGCUGGCGGCAGGCCUAACACAUGCAAGUCGAGCGGCAGCGGAAAGUAGCUUGCUACUUUGCCGGCGAGCGGCGGACGGGUGAGUAAUGUCUGGGAAACUGCCUGAUGGAGGGGGAUAACUACUGGAAACGGUAGCUAAUACCGCAUAACGUCGCAAGACCAAAGAGGGGGACCUUCGGGCCUCUUGCCAUCAGAUGUGCCCAGAUGGGAUUAGCUAGCAGGUGGGGUAACGGCUCACCUAGGCGACGAUCCCUACCUGGUCUGAGAGGAUGACCAGCCACACUGGAACUGGGACACGGUCCAGACUCCUACGGGAGGCAGCAGUGGGGAAUAUUGCACAAUGGGCGCAAGCCUGAUGCAGCCAUGCCGCGUGUAUGAAGAAGGCCUUCGGGUUGUAAAGUACUUUCAGCGGGGAGGAAGGUGCUGAGGUUAAUAACCUCAGCAAUUGACGUUACCCGCAGAAGAAGCACCGGCUAACUCCGUGCCAGCAGCCGCCGUAAGAC